rnacentral:lncRNA from 1 species
CCAGGCACUUUUCAGGCCAGAUCCAUCACCGCCCUCCCCAUCAACCUCCGCUGCAAGAUUUCAUCCACCACCGCCAUCUAAGUGGUGGUUUUCUCAUACGAACCAUUCACCCAAUACCAUUAUCUUCACCGUCUCUACACAAACACCCUACACCAUUUUCUUUAACAUCACAACUGCCAAAAAUUCGUUGCUAAACAAACCCCAAAGAUCGUCGACAAAAUGAUUGUUCAAUUUACGAUCUCAGUUUGGGGAAAAUGAAGACGUCGGAUAUGAACACCCCUCCAUCUCGACUUAGGGUUUCGAUAGGAUGAUGAUGAUAUUCUAUGGUAAUUUCCGGUGACAAUUGACGACAGUGAGGCGAGGGGGGAUCGUGAAGGAGCAGGAGAUGGAACCAGGUUGUAAUUGGUCAACUCGAAUGCCUUUGAGUGCCAAGUCGUCGUAGAAGCAGUAGGAGAGUUCCGGUCGCAGGGGAGAGGUGUUGAUUCCGGCAACUCGAUCGGAAUGUUCGUCGGUUACUUGCAGAUCGUUAAAUGCUUGGAGCUUGCACUAGGAAGGAGUCGUUGUGGGAUACGGACUAUUAUGUUCCGUGCUUAA